UGGGGUAUAUUGCACAAUGGGCGCAAGCCUGAUGCAGCCAUGCCGCGUGUAUGAAGAAGGCCUUCGGGUUGUAAAGUACUUUCAGCGGGGAGGAAGGGAGUAAAGUUAAUACCUUUGCUCAUUGACGUUACCCGCAGAAGAAGCACCGGCUAACUCCGUGCCAGCAGCCGCGGUAAUACGGAGGGUGCAAGCGUUAAUCGGAAUUACUGGGCGUAAAGCGCACGCAGGCGGUUUGUUAAGUCAGAUGUGAAAUCCCCGGGCUCAACCUGGGAACUGCAUCUGAUACUGGCAAGCUUGAGUCUCGUAGAGGGGGGUAGAAUUCAAGGUGUAGCGGUGAAAUGCGUAGAGAUCUGGAGGAAUACCGGUGGCGAAGGCGGCCCCCUGGACGAAGACUGACGCUCAGGUGCGAAAGCGUGGGGAGCAAACAGG
rnacentral:rRNA from 1 species